CAGUUAUGCUUAUACUCCUUAUAAAACACCAUGAUCGUUCAUUUUAUCCAUCCAUCAGGAAAUCAUCAAGGCACCAUUACGGGAAGAUAAGGAAUCAAGAACAUGGCAUCAUCUUAUUCAACUUUAACAUUUCCAUGGAUUCCAUACAAUCCGAAAGAUGGAUUGAACUUACGGAACAAUUAAUGUUGGUAAUGAUGAAGACUUGAACAUAGAAACACUUAGCUAUGCAAGUUAUUUUUCAUGUUUUUUUUGAAGUGGAUAUUUCUUAUGUCUUAAAGACACUCUUUAUGUAUCGAGUAUAACUUGAAACUAAUUAUUUGUAUCAAAGUUAGCGAAUGUUGGCUAUACUUUUAUGAUUGGAUACAAUAAUGUAAUUGUUAGUUACAAUUCUCA